UAGAAACAUUAAUGAACCAUUGGU
rnacentral:siRNA from 1 species